rnacentral:rRNA from 1 species
AGGAUGAACGCUGGCGGAGUGCCUAAUACAUGCAAGUCGAGCGGCAACGCGAGUAGUUUACUACUUGGCGGCGAGCGGCGGACGGCUGAGUAACGCGUGGGAACGUGCCCCAAAGUGAGGAAUAACUGCCCGAAAGGGUAGCUAAUGCCGCAUAUGAUCUUCGGAUUAAAGGAUUUAUCCGCUUUGGGAGCGGCCCGCGUCAGAUUAGGUAGUUGGUGAGGUAAAGGCUCACCAAGCCGACGAUCUGUAGCUGAUCUGAGAGGAUGAUCAGCCAGACUGGGACUGAGACACGGCCCAGACUCCUACGGGAGCAGCAGUAAGGAAUCUUCCACAAUGGACGAAAGUCUGAUGGAGCAACUCCGCGUGCA